rnacentral:rRNA from 1 species
CUACGGGGUGCAGCAGUGAGGAAUAUUGCACAAUGGGGGGAACCCUGAUGCAGCAACGCCGCGUGGAGGAUGACGCAUUUCGGUGUGUAAACUCCUUUUAUAUGUCAAGAAAAUGACGGUAGCAUAUGAAUAAGCACCGGCUAACUCCGUGCCAGCAGCCGCGGUAAUACGGGAGGGUGCAAGCGUUACUCGGAAUCACUGGGCGUAAAGGACGCGUAGGCGGGUUGGAAAGUCAGGUGUGAAAUCCUACAGCUUAACUGUAGAACUGCACUUGAAACUUCUAAUCUAGAGUAUGGGAGGGGGAGAUGGAAUUAGUGGUGUAGGGGUAAAAUCCGUAGAUAUCACUAGGAAUACCUAAAGCGAAGGCGAUUUCCUGGAACAUUACUGACGCUAAGGCGUGAAAGCGUGGGGAGCAAACAGGAUUAGAUACCCCUGUAGUC